rnacentral:rRNA from 1 species
CAUCUAGGCGGUUUAUUAAGUCAGAAGUGAAAUACCGGGGCUCAACCCCGGGACUGCUUUUGAAACUGGUAGACUAGAAUACGGGAUAGGAGGGCGGAACUACAAGUGUAGAGGUGAAAUUCGUAGAUAUUUGUAGGAAUGCCGAUGACGAAGGUAGCUCUCUGGACCGACAUUGACGCUGAAGUGCGAAAGCUAGGGUAGCAAACA